UAAGACGAACCGUCCAAACGUUAUUCGGAAUCACUGGGCUUAAAGGGUGCGUAGGCGGCGCGGAAAGUUGGGUGUGAAAUCCCUCGGCUCAACCGAGGAACUGCGCCCAAAACUACCGUGCUCGAGGGAGAUAGAGGUGAGCGGAACUUAGGGUGGAGCGGUGAAAUGCGUUGAUAUCCUAAGGAACACCGGUGGCGAAAGCGGCUCACUGGAUCUCUUCUGACGCUGAGGCACGAAAGCUAGGGUAGCGAACGGGAUUAGAUACCCCGGUAGUCCUAGCCGUAAACGAUGAGCACUGGAUUGGAGGGUUCUCCAUAGCCUUCCAGUCGCAACGAAAGCGUUAAGUGCUCCGCCUGGGGAGUAUGGUCGCAAGGCUG
rnacentral:rRNA from 1 species